rnacentral:rRNA from 1 species
GACGAACGCUGGCGGCGUGCUUAACACAUGCAAGUCUACGAGAAUAAGGUAGCAAUAUCUUUAGUAAAGUGGCGCACGGGUGAGUAACACGUAAGUAACCUACCUUUAGAUUUGGAAUAACCCCGAGAAAUCGGGGCUAAUACCGAAUGAUGCAGCGGCACCACAUGGUGAUGUUGUUAAAGUCUAUAUGACGUCUAAAGAUGGGCUUGCGUCUGAUUAGCUAGUUGGUGAGGUAACGGCCCACCAAGGCUUCGAUCAGUAGCUGGUCUGAGAGGAUGAUCAGCCACACUGGAACUGAGACACGGUCCAGACUCCUACGGGAGGCAGCAGUGAGGAAUAUUGGGCAAUGCCCGAAAGGGUGACCCAGCAACGCCGCGUGGAGGAUGAAUGCCGUAAGGUUGUAAACUCCUGUUAGAGGGGAAGAAUAAUUCCGAUCGACUCGGAAAUUGACUGUACCCUCAGAGAAAGCCCCGGCUAACUACGUGCCAGCCGCCGCGGUAACAC